GAUGAAGAACGCAGCGAAAUGCGAUAAGUAAUGUGAAUUGCAGAAUUCAGUGAAUCAUCGAGUCUUUGAACGCACAUUGCGCCCCCUGGUAUUCCGGGGGGCAUGCCUGUCCGAGCGUCAUUGCUGCCCUCAAGCACGGCUUGUGUGUUGGGCCCCGCCCCCCGGCUCCCGGGGGGCGGGCCCGAAAGGCAGCGGCGGCACCGCGUCCGGUCCUCGAGCGUAUGGGGCUUCGUCACCCGCUCCGUAGGCCCGGCCGGCGCUUGCCGAUCAACCAAAACUUUUUUCCAGGUUGACCUCGGAUCAGGUAGGGAUACCCGCUGAACUUAAGCAUAUCAAUAAGCGGAGGA
rnacentral:misc_RNA from 1 species